rnacentral:rRNA from 1 species
UACGUAGGCAGCGAGCGUUGUUCGGAGUUACUGGGCGUAAAGCGUGCGUAGGCGGUUUUCUAAGUUUGGUGUGAAAUCUCCCGGCUCAACUGGGAGGGUGCGCCGAAGACUGGGAGACUGGAGUGUGGGAGAGGUAGGCGGAAUUCCUGGUGUAGCGGUGAAAUGCGUAGAUAUCAGGAGGAACACCUGUGGUGUAGACGGCUUACUGGACCAUGACUGACGCUGAGGCACGAAAGCGUGGGGAGCAAAC